UUUGUAUUUUAUAGUAUAUCAAUAAUUUUGAUAUAUUUAUAUUAUUUAAAUUUUCAUGAUUCGUUAAUUAUAGUUAAGUAAACUAAUGGCAAUAAUAUAAUACAUAUAUGUAUAAGAAUAUAUGUUAUUUAAGUUUAGUAUCUUGUAUAUUUAUGUGUUGUAUAUGGUAAAAGUGAAAUCAUAUUUACAAUUACGAUAACUGUACAUUAUUGAAAGUAAUAGGUGGCCAAAUCUGGGCCAAGAGAAAGUUUAGUAAGAAAACUUACUUUGGUAUAUAUAAUCAAAAAAGUAUAUAAAUACCAAUCACUUAUGAAAGUUACAACUUAUACUUUAUAAGAUCAUUCUAUCUUAACCUCCAUUUUACAAAGAACUUUACAAUGCAAAUAUUUUGUGUAAGUUACAAGAAAUACAUCCUUGUAUACUUACUUCUAAAUACAAUAUGUAUUAUUACUUGUAAUAAAUCAACAUCAACUAAUCUUUUAUCAAAGUUAGAAUAUAUGAAUAAAUUAAAAAGACCUGUAUAUACAUUUGUUAAAACUGACAAAGAGGCGAAUAUUAAGUGGGGUGUGCGCCAUUACGUUCCCAGAAUGAGUGAAAUAAAAGUUGACUGAACAAUGUAAUUUAAGAGCGCAACAACAGACAUUCUUAACUGAAAAAAAUCAUUAUGAGCUAUUUGAUGCAUUUAUAUAUUGUUGAUAUCGUGUUAAACUCUAUAUUUUAUUUCUGAUUUUAUGGAUUAAAACUAUAUAUUUCUUGAUUUAUAAAAUAUCAAAGCGUUAGAUGGACUCUAUAGCCCGUCCAAUGAAUCGAAUCACUAGAAAAUGUGUCUACUUGCAGAAAAUGUUUAAAAUAUGGUUCACGUGAUUGAGAGUGCUUUCUACUGAAACGUUGUACACGUGCUCACGCUCACGUAUCACUUUGCUCGACGUACGAAAUGUUAGGAUGAGUGGGAGAGUUAUUUGCUGAGAAAAGUAAAUAUCGGACCGGACGUCUCGUCUUAAGAAAAUCGAUCAAUGACCAUCCUCGUCUAUAUGUAUAUAUAUAUAUA